AUAUAAAAACACGAAUAGUUAAGAAUCUUUAAUGCGCUUACCUCAGCCAUUUAAAUCAGCCACGCCCCUUUAAAUAGUUCACAGUAUUUGUGUUUAAAUCAUGCCAGCAGAGCCAAUGAACAACACUUUGCCAUUUUUAUUAUGCAGCCGCGUUCUUUGUUAGUCAUGUAUCAGUUUUACUAAUUUACGGUUGUCAUAUUUACACACCUGACACAUUCUUCUUGAUCUUUAAGGACUGGAGUAUGUUUAUUUGUUAUGUUUAUUCAUACAGAAAUGCAGCCUUGCUCCUCUGAGACUCAAGGAAAGAAAUACACCCAGACAUUCUCAGAGGAAUGGAGAUCUGAACAUGAUUUUAAGGACACUGAGAUGCAUAUGAAACUAGAAGUUUAUACACAACAGGAGGAGAAUGAAGAGCAAAUGCACCUGUGCAGUGAAUCAGCAUCUUUAUCACCAUGUAUGUACAAUUAUCAUGAUCAGAUGCCCAGCAAAGACAAUGAAACCCAAAUGAUGGACAAUAGUGAGAACAAUUUUCCCUUUAUUAACAAAGCACCUCGAAUUAAGACUGAACUUGAGAGUAAUUCUGAAACAAUUACCACCUGUCAAGUACAGCAGCACAUCACAAAACACGGCUUGAAUGAUUCAGGGGCCAGUGAUGCUUCCAGUGAUGCCAACAAAAUCACAUUCAGCCACAUUGGCUCCCCCAGACAUGAGACACAAACAUUUAAUCUGCCCCUCAGAAAUCAAGAGAUGUUGACCCAGAUAAGAGACAGAUAUCAAAGACGAAAAUCUCAGGGGAAAGUGAAAUUCGCUAAAGAUCUGAACCCAACAGAACUGAGAAGGCAACAGAAAAAGUGGAGGGAGAAUUCAGCCGCUUACAGGAGAAAGAAAGCAUUUCAGGAGGUUUUAGUCAAUAUUAAAGAAGAAAUUAAUCAAGUCAUCCCAGAGUCAGAGCCGUCCACCUCCUCUGAUCAACAUUAUGGUGUUUUUUAAUGUUCACUGAGAGAUUUGGGCAAAAUAUUCCUGUUUCUCAACUGAUAGAUUAUAUGAGUAUGUCAUUAGCCAGAGCCGAGGUCAUUGGUAGGAUUCCCAGAAAAUGCUCAUCUCAAUGUAUUUAAUGCACUUUACAACAUCUACCAAAUGCAUUAAUGUAAAUAUUCUUUUAAAAAAGUAAACUGCAUGCAUUCUGACAGAAAUACUAGCACAUGCACAUUGAUUCCAUGUCAUCAGUGUAAUAAUUUAAUUAAAAUAUACUUUAGAUUACACAAAUGACCAAGUAUUUAUGAUUCUUUAUGCUCUUGAUGAAUUUUGAAAUAAAAAAAAAAGUGAAUGAAGCA
ensembl:lncRNA